CCUACGGGAGACAGCAGUGAGGAAUAUUGGUCAAUGGACGCAAGUCUGAACCAGCCAUGCCGCGUGCAGGAUGACGGCUCUAUGAGUUGUAAACUGCUUUUGUACGAGGGUAAACCCCGAUACGUGUAUCGUGUUGAAAGUAUCGUACGAAUCAGGAUCGGCUAACUCCGUGCCAGCAGCCGCGGUAAUACGGAGGAUCCGAGCGUUAUCCGGAUUUAUUGGGUUUAAAGGGUGCGUAGGCGGUUUGAUAAGUUAGAGGUGAAAUGUCGGGGCUCAACCCCGAAACUGCCUCUAAUACUGUUGGACUAGAGAAUAGUUGCGGUAGGCGGAAUGUAUGGUGUAGCGGUGAAAUGCUUAGAGAUCAUACAGAACACCGAUUGCGAAGGCAGCUUACCAAACUAUAUCUGACGUUGAGGCACGAAAGCGUGGGUAGCAAACAGGAUUAGAUACCCUGGUAGUC
rnacentral:rRNA from 1 species